rnacentral:rRNA from 1 species
AGCCUGAACGCUGGCGGCGUGGCUAAGACAUGCAAGUCGCACGCAUCGCAGCAAUGCGGUGAGUGGCGGACGGGUGAGUAACGUAUCGCUAACGUACCCCUUUGUCCGGGAUAGCCGAGGGAAACUUCGGGUAAUACCGGUUGACAUCACUCCGAGGCAUCUCGGGGUGCUCAAAGGCGAAAGCCGCUGAGGGGAGCGGGGCGAGUGACCGGUAUCAAGUCGUAGUUGGUGGGGUAACGGCCCACCAAGGCGACGACGCGUAGCCGGACUGAGAGGUUGGCCGGCCACAUUGGGACUGAGACACUGCCCAGACUCCUACGGGGGGCUGCAGUAACGAAUCUUCCGCAAUGCACGCAAGUGUGACGGAGCGACGCCGCGUGUGGGACGAAGCCCCUCGGGGUGUAAACCACUGUCAGGGGCAGCCAAGAACUGAGGCGCCCCAGAGGAAGGCACGGCUAACUCUGUGCCAGCAGCCGC